UACAGAGGGGGCAAGCGUUAUUCGGAAUUAUUGGGCGUAAAGGGCGCGUAGGCGGCUUGGCAAGUGGAAGGUGAAAUCCCUCGGCUCAACUGAGGAACUGCCCUCCAAACUGCUUUGCUUGAGGCCGGGAGAGGUAAGUGGAAUUCCCAGUGUAGCGGUGAAAUGCGUAGAUAUUGGGAGGAACACCGGUGGCGAAGGCGGCUCACUGGCUCGUAACUGACGCUCAGGCGCGACAGCGUGGGGAUCGAAACAGG
rnacentral:rRNA from 1 species